UGGGGAAUAUUGCGCAAUGGGGGAAACCCUGACGCAGCAACGCCGCGUGGGUGAUGAAGGUUUUCGGAUCGUAAAACCCUGUCUUCUGGGACGAUAAUGACGGUACCAGAGGAGGAAGCCACGGCUAACUACGUGCCAGCAGCCGCGGUAAUACGUAGGUGGCGAGCGUUGUCCGGAUUUACUGGGCGUAAAGGGUGCGUAGGCGGACCUUUAAGUGAGAUGUGAAAUCCCCGGGCUUAACCUGGGGGCUGCAUUUCAAACUGGAGGUCUAGAGUGCAGGAGAGGAGAAUGGAAUUCCUAGUGUAGCGGUGAAAUGCGUAGAGAUUAGGAAGAACACCAGUGGCGAAGGCGAUUCUCUGGACUGUAACUGACGCUGAGGCACGAAAGCGUGGGUAGCAAA
rnacentral:rRNA from 1 species